AUCGGGUACUUCCCGAUAUGCUAGAAACACCAAAUUUCGCAUGGUGAUAGGGGUUCACCCCAGGUAAUGGGAAAAUUCUUGAAAUCUUUAAUUUCGGUCCAGGGACUACCUGGCGUAGACAGGCUGUUGUACUAGUAUAAUUAUCAUUGAUUAACACUGAUUGCAUGAGAAUUGCAUCGACAAACUGAUAGAGUGAACAAAUGUAUCAUAUAUUAACAGUAUUGACCAUAAUGAUAAUUUUGAGAAGCUUUAUAACUAAUUAUGUAAUCGAUUCGACUUGGAAAAACGUCGAUAUAAUUUGUUAAACCAUGAAACCAUGUACAAAGGGAGAAAAUAUGCGAAGCGCAGCCUGCGCAGCAAAAUAUAUUAUGCAAACAGCACGCGUGACUGUAAGCAACGAGGAAACGACGCUAUUGCUUUCCGAGUGAAAAAAUUCGCAUUUUUUAACCGUUUCGCUUCUCCCUGGACACAUGCGGCCGCAUGCGAGUGUCGGUUUAAGCGUCAUUUAUUCCUUUCUCAGCGCAUGGGUGUACCAACAGAAAAACCCAUUUACCAAUGCACGUUUCGGCGGAUAUGCAUUGGCAUCCACGGACGCUUCUGCUGAAAUUGGAUUUUAUGGACUUUCGAUCCGUGUUUGUCCGUCGGGCAAGUGACACGUAGAGAUUCGCGCCGAAAUCGCGUCGACGAAAACAGCUCGCACAUAUAUAUGCAGCGUAAAAAGAUAUAUAUGCAGACUCACGUGAAAAACGAACGGCGACGCUAGUCUCAUCUUUAUUCGUAAAAGAAUAAAGAAUCCACAGCUUGUUUACAUGAAUCCGGGCAUGUUUCCAGAAAGCGCGUGCUCCGUUCAUUUAUCGUUUCCGCCUCCGUAAAAAUCUCGUGUUUCUUAAUCAACGUUUAUCGUUUAGACGAGAGUGUAUUAGUGUACCUCCGUGAUAACGUCAUUCUCGAUUAAGUUUUAAUUUGACUGGUCGAUGCUGUCUUGCGAGACACCUGUGAUUAUUCGUUAAUGCGCAAUGCCAAGAAUAACUUUGACAUAGCGAAUCUCGUUUCGUCCGAUUUUGACUUGAUAUUUCAUGCGUCUUGAUAUUUUACGAGAUGAGCAAGUGAACACACACAAAAAAACUCUUGCUACAAAUUUUACAAUAUUCCGGAUAAUAUGUGAGAUAUAAUCAACAGCUCCGAAAGGUUAAACCGUUAUACACAGACCAAUCCGUUGAUGCAUUGAACCUAUUUUACCUCUGUUUCAUCUUCUUGAUAUUUUUUGUGCACACGGCAUGAAGAUUAAAAGCAUUGGUAGCAUAACGUUCAUCAAGAUACCUUUUAAUAAUACGAUGCCCCAGCUUUCUCCAUUUAUUACACUGUUGUACAUUACGACAUCCCACUUAGUAUCUCGUAGUAUAUUUCCUCUUUAUUACUCUCGUAAAGAGUCACCAAGCGUACAUACUGAUUAAAACGUUAAUGAGUACGAUAAGGAUCUUGAUAAAGAUGUGAUUAACGGCGUGUCACACAGGGUAUUUUCAAGACACGGAUAAUUCGUUACCUAAUAAGUCUCGUAAUAUUUUACGUUGAAUCUCCAAUCGGCUUCUUCAGGGAAUCUUACAUGAACGUUUAUAUCGGAUCGUAUUUAAAUAGCCCGGUUGUUAUAAUUAUAACAGAGAACAGAAAAAAAGUACCGCGUACUUGAUUGCACCGUUUUAGCGAAAAUACAUGCGACCGGUAAAAUUAAGGGAACGGCCAAACUCGAUUCCCUCAUUUAAAAAUGGAAAUGGUCGCCAAUUAAACUGCACGGGGCCAAUCACUGUGCACCUUCGCUCGUAAUUCAUUAUGGAAAUUAAUUCUCAAUCACACGCGAGGCGGACCCACACGAAAAUUCUUUCUACCCGCAUGCUUUUCUCUCGAUUGUAACCUCGAAAAGUCUCACAUUUUUAUUGAACGACACCAAAUUUAAUUGCGAGCACUGGGCGAGCUUUUUUAACAGACAUUUAAUUAAUGAACGACAAGCCACGAUAUUGCAUUAACCUUACGGUUUUGUCUGCCACGCCCUGAUAUAAUAGAGAUUAUUAUAUAAUAUAAAUUUUGCAAAUAUUACGUAUACAGAUAAUAUAGAUAAAUAAAUGCAAAUGCUGUUUUAUAUUUUCUCUUUGUAAUACCAUAUAAUUAUUCAAAGAAAAUAAUGAGUCGACAUGCUUAAAAUUCAACUGCGUAAUUUGCCGCGUACAUGUAACUUUUUUGGUGCUCAAAUAUAAUUACACUUCUUCAAAUACUGUUACGUUCUCGAAGAUAUUUAAAUGUAAUAUUUAUCUUAAUGACACACAGAAAUUCUUCCUUUAGCUGCUUUUAUCACAUUGCAAAACUUUCUUUAAAUUCAAAAAGUUAAAUUUAAGAAGUUAGAACAUAUGUGUGAUCAAGAAAAAAAAAGUUGAGAAUUAUAUACGAGAGUUUGCUACGAACAUUUAGAAGUUAGAAAGACUAUCGUAAAAGUUAGAAGAAGCAUAGAAACAAUAUCCACAUCCCAGCGGAGAGCUAAUAAACAGCAAACAAAGUAUCCAGUCCGACGAGAAAUCCGUGACAGUUAGUCAUGUAAGUUGUCAGCGUAUCAUUUCAUAUGGGUUGCAGGGUGGCAGUCGGUUAAUGGGUGGCGUUCACUCGCGCGGGUGCAAAACGCGCGCCGCUCGGCUGUGCGCCGAGUGUUUACCUAUCUAGGGAGAGGACCUAGGGCCUAGACGGUGGGCAGGGUAAAAUCAAUGCGCGGGUUAGACGAGCCAGAGCAGAACGACAGUGUGUAAGGGUGAAAGAGAAAGAGAGAGAACGGGAUGCUGCACGAGGGUGAGAGAGAAUGGUGAGAGAACGAGCGAUGAAGCGAGAAACCAAGAGAGAGACGAAGAGGAGAGAAGUAGAAUGAGAGGAACACGUACGAUAGCGGACGAUGGCGGAGAGGAGGACGAGCAAGAAAGAGCCUGCCGAGUCGGAGGGUGAGAGACGGGAAGAGAGAAAUGAGGAGACUAAGGGGGACAAGAGGGCGAAGCGAGAGAGUGAGCUGUUGGAUAGGCUGCUCGUAGUGGUGUAGGUUGUAGGUUCUAGCUACGGUAAGGAUAGGGCGGAGGUAUCGGUAGGCGGGUAGGUAGGUAACGGGAAGGGACUGGACGAGAGGAAAAAGGGAGGAUGGUGCGAGAGAUGCGGAGCAGAAGGGCGCAGGAUUGUCGUCGAGCAGUUCGUCCGUCGUCGUAGUCGUUGUCCCCGUCGUCGAAGGGUGGCCUCGACGCUUUGUGAGAAGGGACGGAAAGCGCGGAGAGCCAAGCGGCCUGACUACAGCCGCUCUAGAGAGCGGUUCUCUGAAGGGUGCCGUUCUGACACACUGCUCCAUAUUCCAACCGGCCGACGCACACCGACACACUGACACCCCAACGAACGACCCACCCUCUUUCCUCCUUCCAUCCUCCGCUUCGGCUUUCACCCUCAACGCGAGACCACUGCCGCCGUUACCGUUGCAAUUCAGACACCGUCCACGGACGGUGGUGAUCGCCGAUGCAUGUGACGCAGUACUCGUAAUGCCCGCGGCGACCCGAGGGAUGCUGUUUCUGUUUCGUUAGGCAUAACUUCCAUCGACAACUAGAAGAAGACAUGGCCAGAUAAAACGUGAGAGACGGCUGUUUCUGUCCUUAUUGGGUCAACCGAUAUAUGCACAUCGACGUUUAAGAGGCCGCAGAUAUCGAGGCAACCUCGCUUGCUCGAAUCACAAGAGCUUACAGUUUCCAGAUAAACACUCCACUGAUGGUUUUCAAUGUGCUCGUAUAUCGAUUUCAACGUCUUGUCGCCCCCGACAACGUUAUCCAACUAGCAGAAACUAACGGUGGAUGCCUUCGAUCCUCGAACUACUCUAGAACGUGGACUCGAUAGUGGCAAGAUAACUGCGAUGGCGUCUUGCGGCUCGUUCCGGAGAAUUCAUCGUCAUCGCUGUGUUAAUUACGCGGUAUCGAGUGUUUAAUUAAUUAGUGCAUUGAUUACCACGUCAUGCACGCAUAAUGAUCAUGCUUGUUCCGCCGAGAUCAUGCGUGUAUUAGGUGCAUACUUGCGGUCCACUCAGUAAUAGACUUGUAUUAAUGAAUUAUUUGAUUAAGACAACAUAUUCCUUUUUUCUACCUUUUAUAGAUUCAAAAUAAAUUUGUUUUGGUAUUAGUCACAAAUAAAAAACUUUGAUUAUAUAAAUUAU